AGAGUUUGAUCAUGGCUCAGAACGAACGCUGGCGGCAUGCCUAACACAUGCAAGUCGAACGGGAUCCGGACUUCGGUUCGGUGAGAGUGGCGGACGGGUGAGUAACGCGUGGGAACCUGCCCAGUGGUGGGGGAUAACUGCGGGAAACUGCAGCUAAUACCGCAUGAGCCCGAGAGGGGAAAGAUUUAUCGCCAUUGGAGGGGCCCGCGUUCGAUUAGGUAGUUGGUGAGGUAAUGGCUCACCAAGCCGACGAUCGAUAGCUGGUCUGAGAGGAUGAUCAGCCACACUGGGACUGAGAUACGGCCCAGACUCCUACGGGAGGCAGCAGUGGGGAAUAUUGGACAAUGGGGGCAACCCUGAUCCAGCAAUGCCGCGUGAGUGAUGAAGGCCUUCGGGUUGUAAAGCUCUUUUGGCGGGGACGAUGAUGACGGUACCCGCAGAAUAAGCCCCGGCUAACUUCGUGCCAGCCGCCGCGGUAAUUC
rnacentral:rRNA from 1 species